AACGCACAUUGCGCCCUGUGGUAUUCCACAGGGCAUGCCUGUUUGAGCGUCAUUUCUCCUUCAAGCUUUCUAGUUUGGACUUGGGCGUGGGGGUACAUACCCUGCCCGAAAUAGUGGGUGGGAGCAGCUUGCUGUAGUUGACGCCAAUGAGUUAGGUUCUGCCAGUUCGUUGGAAAGACUAGGGGAGGUUGUUGCCGAUAACAAGCCCAUAUACAAAAAAUUGACCUCAAAUCAGGUAGGACUACCCGCUGAACUUAA
rnacentral:misc_RNA from 1 species